GCUGCCGGCUGCCCGUGCGGGUGGAGCAGGUCGUCAAUGGCGCGCUGCUGGUCACUGUGAGCUGCGGGCAGCGCAGCUUCGCCGGGAUCCUGCUGGACUGCACGAAAAAGUCCGGCCUCUUCGGCCUGCCCCCAUCCACUCCACUGCCCCAGGCCGAGGACACCCCUGUCAAUGGCUGCCAGGGCCCAGCCGCCACAGAGGAGGACCCGGAGGCGAUGCAGCUGGGAACAGCGCCCCCGCCGCCUUCCUGCCCUGAGCUGCCCCCGCCCCUGGUGCCGCCGCUGCCCGCUGGAAGCCUGCCCCCCUUCCCGCCAUAUUUUGAAGGCGCCCCCUUCCCGCCCCCACUCUGGCUGAGGAACACCUACCAGCAGUGGGUGCCACAGCCACCACCCCGGACCAUCAAGAGGACAAAGAGGCGCCUGUCCCGCAACCGUGACCCUGGCCGGCUGGCCCUGAGCCCCAUCUGCCUGCGGCCACGGCGGGUCCUCUGCGAGAAGUGCAAGAGCACCCUGAGCCCCCCGGAGGCUGGCCCCGCGCCCCCAGCCACCCCCCGGCCUCGCAGGAGACUGGGCAGUGGCUCCGACCCAGACAGGGAGCUCCGCAAACACGAGGACCCAGAUGGCGGGGGUGAAACCGCGGCCUCGGCCACCACCAGGAGAAGCAAGAGGGAGAGGCGGGAGGAGGACCAGGCUCGGGUCCCACGGAGCCCGGCCAUCAAGAUCUCCUACAGCACACCUCAGGGCAAGGGCGAGGUGGUGGAGAUCCCGUCCCGCGUGCACGGCUCCCUGGAGCCCUUCUGCCCCCCGCAGGCCCUGCACGGUGCCCCGGACCCCGAGGCGGCUCGGGACAGGCCACCCGACGGGCCCUCCGCCUCCAUUCCGAAGCUGAAGCUGACACGGCCCAUGCCCCCCAGUGCUGACCUGCCGCCCCCCAAGAUCCGCCUGAAGCCCCACCGCCUGGGCGCUGGUGAGCAGGAGCCUGUCUAUAGGGCUGAGCUGGUGGAGGAGCUCAACGGCCGUGGGCAAGGUGCCCAGGCCAGCUCCCCUGCCCACCCUGCCUCUGGCUCUGCCCACGGUGCCCUGGCGGACUUGUCUUCGGGAAGUUCUGGGGAGGACGAUGACUUCAAGACGUGUCCCCAGGGUAAACACGGGCGCGACAGCCUGGCCUUUCUCGCCAGCUGCUCUGGGAGCAGGACAGACUAUGCCCGGGAGUCGCUGUGGAGCAGCGACAGCCUGGACGAGUCCAAAUCGUCCAGCUCAGAAGUCACGUCGCCAGACACAUGUGACCUCUCCUCUGGCGAUGGUGUGUCCGUGCCGCCCACCUCCAAGCGCGCGGGGCAGACGGUCCCGCCCCUGACGGUCAGGCUGCACACGCAGAGCAUCUCCAAGUGCGUUACCGAGGACGGAAGGACCGUGGCCGUAGGGGACAUCGUGUGGGGUAAGGUUCAUGGUUUCCCUUGGUGGCCAGCACGUGUCCUUGACAUCAAUCUUAGCCAGAAGGAGGACGGGGAGCCCUCUUGGCAAGAAGCGAAAGUCUCGUGGUUUGGUUCUCCAACGACAUCAUUCUUGUCCAUUUCCAAACUCUCCCCUUUCUCUGAAUUUUUCAAACUGAGAUUUAACCGUAAGAAGAAGGGGAUGUAUCGGAAAGCUAUAACAGAGGCCGCCAAUGCCGCGCGACACGUGGCCCCGGAAAUCAGGGAGCUCUUAACCCAGUUUGAAACAUGACUGGGGCUCCCUGACCAGGUCACCGACGAUGAGGGCAUGGCGUUCUCCUGGAGCUUCCGACUUCGGGGUGUCCUCCAUGCCCCCCAUUCCGUCCGAGGGGCCCUGCGUGCCUUCUGGUUGGCUGCGUGCAGAACCACGCCAGGCCUGCGGUGGUCAGUCUGGCGCCGGGCUUCCUGGGAGGAGCAGCGUUUUUGAGAAUAGAGGGAGCUGUGUGUCCACUGAUACCUGUGCCCCCCGAGCUCGGCUGCCCUGUUGAAGGGACCCCGCCCAUGUUGAGGUCUGCCCCCCGAGAGACGGCCACCUGUUCCCAGCGCUGCUGCUCAGGGAGGCAGUGGGUUCCGCCUCCCUCGGGCCCUGUAGGUGACACCAACGUCCCCAGUGGGGCAACAUCUCUGCAAAUGGGUCGGUUCUGCUGCGGUUUCUCCCAGUGGGACCCUCAUCUCCUGUUUCCUCUGGGUCCCCUCCCCGGGGAGCCCCCUUUGUCCCUGCUUGUGGUCUCAGCAGAGCCAAGGCCCGAUGAGGGGCAGGUGGCCUGGCCUCUGAGUGCCUGGACCCACCUUGAGGGGAGAAGUGGCUGCCCCAUGGUGUCACCUGGGUCUGGGGAAGUACAAGGCAGAGAGAGAUAGGGCGUUCUUCGUAAGCUGGGCACUGCCCCCUGGAAAAACAUGUCUUAAAUGGAGUGACCUCGGCUCAGGUUCCCGGAGAUGGUCAGCCACGUGCAGCUCUGGCCUGGACACUUUUACUCCUGACCACCCAGCCGGGGUCCCUGAGCUCAGGUACAAGGACAGAGAUCCGUACAGGGGCUUUGGAUUCAGCAGCAUCAUCUCAAGCUCCAGGGCUGGGCGAGGCCCUGCAGGAGACAUGCAGGGCCCUGCCCCGGGCCACCCCCUUCUAAGGGCCAGCUGAGCCCAGCAGUGAAGCCCAGCCCCAAAUGACCUCAGGCCUUGUAGCUCCUGGUCUCUCGGCUGUCCAGUCCUGCUGGGUGCCCUCCCGCUCUGGGCCUGGGUCCUCCGCCGUGCCCACAGCCACCCCCUAGCUCAGGUGCCCAGGAUAGGGUGUCUCUCUCAGGGCUGCCCUCGCUGAAGCCCUCAGCCCGUUUGAGGGGCUGGAGGGAGCCGAGUCCUGGCUGCUCCCACUGGAGCUGGCCAGUUCUCCACCCCCACCCUACCCAGCCGGGGACGCUGGCCCCUGGGUGUGCUGGGACAGACAGCAGUUGUAAUUAAAAGGGAAGGCGGCUUUGUGUGUUUUUAAGGCUUUGUGACUGUUUCCUUAGGCAGCAAAUUAAUCAUGUUUUCAUGUCAGUUUGAUUUCAUGGUGCUCACACCCUGCUUGGCUGUGUGGUCAUCAUUCAUCCCGGGAUCUGGGAGGUCCUACGGGUUUCGACAAAUGCGCGAUGACAUGUCUCCGCCACCUCAGCAUCGCAGGCUGAGCGUCACUGCCCUGGACACCCCCGGACACCGGCUCAUUGAUGUUCUGAGUGAGCAAAGACACGGGGGAUUGCGGAGGACACCAGUUAUCUAUCAUAAUAAAAGGGUGAUAUGCUAAUUA